rnacentral:rRNA from 1 species
GAUGAACGCUGGCGGCAUGCCUAAGACAUGCAAGUCGAACGAGGUGGCCCAUUGACAAUUAUUGAAAGUGGAGUGCUUGCACAAAACUGGAUUUAAUUUGAUUUGGAUUUUCCACCUAGUGGCAAACGGGUGAGUAACACGUGGGUUACCUACCCUUAAGUUGGGGAUAACAGUUGGAAACGAUUGCUAAUACCGAAUGUACUCUUUGGAGCAAAGAAGCCUUUAAAGCUUCGCUUAAGGAUGGGCCUGCGGUGCAUUAGCUUGUUGGUGGGGUAAUGGCCCACCAAGGCAACGAUGCAUAGCCGAACUGAGAGGUUGAUCGGCCACACUGGGACUGAGACACGGCCCAG